GAGGGCACGGAACUGGAACGUCAAGAAGGCACUGAAAAUGCUGAAAGAAACCUUAAAAUGGAGCGCAGCACACAAACCAGAAGAAAUUUGGCUAGGAAGAGGUUGCUCAUGAAGCACAAAUGGGGAAACUCUACAGAUGAAAUUACUUUGACAAGCAUGGAAGAACAGUUCUUGACAUGACACCUAAUUGCCAGAUGAAGAUCCCCCCUGAAAAAGCAAAGCAAUGUUGGUACUCAUCUAAGGAGUUGGAAGCAAAAAAAGAGCCAGUGAUUGAGGUACACACAGAAGAUGAUAACAAGCAAUUG